rnacentral:rRNA from 1 species
GAUGAACGCUGGCGGCGUGCCUAAUACAUGCAAGUCGAGCGAACAGACGAGGAGCUUGCUCCUCUGACGUUAGCGGCGGACGGGUGAGUAACACGUGGAUAACCUACCUAUAAGACUGGGAUAACUUCGGGAAACCGGAGCUAAUACCGGAUAAUAUAUUGAACCGCAUGGUUCAAUAGUGAAAGACGGUUUUGCUGUCACUUAUAGAUGGAUCCGCGCCGCAUUAGCUAGUUGGUAAGGUAACGGCUUACCAAGGCAACGAUGCGUAGCCGACCUGAGAGGGUGAUCGGCCACACUGGAACUGAGACACGGUCCAGACUCCUACGAGAGGCAGCAGUAGGGAAUCUUCCGCAAAGGGCGAAAGCCUGACGGAGCAACGCCGCGUGAGUGAUGAAGGUCUUCGGAUCGUAAAACUCUGUUAUUAGGGAAGAACAAAUGUGUAAGUAACUAUGCACGUCUUGACGGUACCUAAUCAGAAAGCCACGGCUAACUACGUG